UAAAAAAACAAAACACAAACUUAGGUGAGAUUCUCAUGGACUAUUUUUAAAAUGUCAUUAAUAUAAAAGAUUUCUAUUAGUAGUAUUUAACCUCUGUCCUGUAGAGUAGACAGAGGUAAAUACUCCUGCAGAGCAGCGGAGCUUUAAGACUCGUUCUCUCCGACCCGUGUUGUCUUGCCAGUGUACUGAUAUGUAGAGGUCUGUUAUACUAAUUAGAGGUCUGUUAUACUAAUGUUAUUUAUUAAUUUUUUUCAUUUCCAUACAGUUAACUAAAGAGCUUUUUCAAGCACCCGUGUCUGUAAAAAAAAAGUAUUUUUAAAUAAAAUUUCUUUUGUUGUAGCAC
rnacentral:lncRNA from 1 species